rnacentral:rRNA from 2 species
UUGCUCCUGGAGGUUAGCGGCGAACGGGUGAGUAACACGUGGGCAACCUGCCUGUAAGACUGGGAUAACAUCGAGAAAUCGGUGCUAAUACCGGAUAAUAAAAAGAACUGCAUGGUUCUUUUUUGAAAGAUGGUUUCGGCUAUCACUUACAGAUGGGCCCGCGGCGCAUUAGCUAGUUGGUGGGGUAACGGCUCACCAAGGCGACGAUGCGUAGCCGACCUGAGAGGGUGAUCGGCCACACUGGGACUGAGACACGGCCCAGACUCCUACGGGAGGCAGCAGUAGGGAAUCUUCCGCAAUGGACGAAAGUCUGACGGAGCAACGCCGCGUGAGUGAUGAAGGUUUUCGGAUCGUAAAACUCUGUUGUUAGGGAAGAACAAGUGCCGUUCGAAAGGGCGGCACCUUGACGGUACCUAACGAGAAAGCCACGGCUAACUACGUGCCAGCAGCCGCGGUAAUACGUAGGUGGCAAGCGUUGUCCGGAAUUAUUGGGCGUAAAGC